rnacentral:rRNA from 1 species
AAUAGAUACCCAGGUAGUCCACGCCGUAAACGAUGAGUGCUAAGUGUUAGAGGGUUUCCGCCCUUUAGUGCUGCAGCUAACGCAUUAAGCACUCCGCCUGGGGAGUACGGCCGCGAGGCUGAAACUCAAAGGAAUUGACGGGGGCCCGCACAAGCGGUGGAGCAUGUGGUUUAAUUCGAAGCAACGCGAAGAACCUUACCAGGUCUUGACAUCCUCUGACACUCCUAGAGAUAGGAAUUUCCCCUUCGGGGGACAGAGUGACAGGUGGUGCAUGGUUGUCGUCAGCUCGUGUCGUGAGAUGUUGGGUUAAGUCCCGCAACGAGCGCAACCCUUGUUCUUAGUUGCCAGCAUUCAGUUGGGCACGUCUAAGGAGACUGCCGGUGACAAACCGGAGGAAGGUGGGGAUGACGUCAAAUCAUCAUGCCCCUUAUGACCUGGGCUACACACGUGCUACAAUGGAUGGUACAAAGGGCAGCAAAGCCGCGAGGUCUAGCCAAUCCCAUAAAACCAUUCUCAGUUCGGAUUGU